rnacentral:lncRNA from 1 species
UUGACCUGUAUAGGUUAAGUGCUUACAGGUCUUAUUUCACUUAAUCGUGAAAACAACCCUACAGAAUGGGUAUAGCUAUCUUUAUUUUAUAGGUGAGAAAACUAAAGGAAUACAACAUGUAUCAGGUAGGAGAGACCACUUUACGGCUUUCACCAUUCACAUUCCUCUUGGAGUAUUUUGCCGCCUUUGAUGACCUGUCAUUCUGCAUAGAGAAGAAUAUAACAUGGGGAAAAGGAUUCUGAAGGUGAAGUGACAGAAGAAAAUUUAAAUCUACAAAUGGCACUAAAAGGAGAAACAUUAAAAAAUAAAUUCCUUGAUAAAAAGAAGAAAAAUGGAGGACAAGAACUUCCAGACCACAAAUGGAAAAAAACAUGUUCUAACAAAGGCAUUGCAAUGAAAACCUGAAUGGAAGAUUGGUCUCCUUAUGGGAAACUCAUGAGAACCUUG